rnacentral:other from 1 species
GCGACACUGCGCGGUUCGACGGAGACACGCAUCCCCGGGGCCUUAUCGAUCCAAAAGGGAGCUGUCCCUGUCCCGGCCCGUGGGCUGGGGCAAAACGGCGCCCACCUACGCUGUAGGUUUCCCGGGAUCGAUACCUCCGACGGCCGAGGCGGUUCGCC